UACGUAGGGGGCAAGCGUUGUCCGGAAUCAUUGGGCGUAAAGAGCGUGUAGGCGGCUCGAUAAGUCUGCUGUGAAAGUCCAGGGCUCAACCCUGGAAGGCCGGUGGAAACUGUCGGGCUAGAGUCCGGAGGAGGCGAGUGGAAUUCCCGGUGUAGCGGUGAAAUGCGCAGAUAUCGGGAGGAACACCAAUGGCGAAGGCAGCUCGCUGGGACGGUACUGACGCUGAGACGCGAAAGCGUGGGGAGCGAACAGG
rnacentral:rRNA from 1 species